CGGACGGGUGAGUAAUGUCUGGGAAACUGCCUGAUGGAGGGGGAGUAACUACUGGAAACGGUAGCUAAUACCGCAUAACGUCGCAAGACCAAAGAGGGGGACCGUUCGGGCCUCUUGCCAUCAGAUGUGCCCAGAUGGGAUUAGCUAGUAGGUGGGGUAACGGCUCACCUAGGCGACGAUCCCUAGCUGGUCUGAGAGGAUGACCAGCCACACUGGAACUGAGACACGGUCCAGACUCCUACGGGGAGGCAGCAUG
rnacentral:rRNA from 1 species